CGCGAGCGAACAAGGUGGACGGCGCGGGCUCUCUGACUGGCGGAAGCGGGGUGUACAUACGUUGGCGGGGGUCAGUGAUCGAGCACGCCACGCCGCUUUGUUUAUGCGCGCCGUGGGAUUUAAAGACGGGAUUUAAAAACGUUCGCGCUUCGGAAAACAAAGGAACGAUUUUCGAAAGGAACAUAGGCAAGAUAGCUACAGGCUACAGCAACCCUUCCCCCCUCUCCGCAGGAGAUCCCCCGGACAGGAAACGAAGACUUUCCGGAUGUUAGACCAAUACCUUGGUCUAACUCGGUUCGCAGAGCGGCAAGCUGUUGACGAACGUCGAUGAAUAACCAUAUCAGACUGGCGGUCGCUAAUACGGAAGCACACGCCAAAAAGGCGUUGCAAGCCUUAAGGAAUCCAGGACAAACGCGACCCCUUCUGCCCCUGCACUUGCGCCCAUUUCUGGUGGAAACGUUCCAAUAUUCCGAACGAUCGUCGCUGCUGUCCGUCAACAAUUCCUACAAAAAUGUAAACAACGAUAUCCAGAACAAUUCUUAAAGUUUCCAAGAGAAGAGAAGAUGAUAAAAGGGAUAGGAUACAUAGCAUAUGUACGUGUAUAAGUACAAAUAGAUUGAAUUAGAACCUUUCCUGCUUUAAUUUUGGCAGCUAGUUGCUACUUAUCAAAAGUAUAGCCGCCAGCCAGGACAAAGCGAUCAGCCAGAACAUGAUCAACACCGCCGCUAACCACAAGGAUAUGAUCCUCAUGUCCGACUUGUUGCAUCCACAGGAAUUGCCAUGUUGACUCCUGGACAUCCGCGAUCUGUGCCGUCUGCAAUUGAAAACUACCAUCCGUCACGACACUGUAGUUAAGUCAUCCUUACGUUAAUGUCUAUUUCUACAAAAUUGCCAUCUACAUUGUUUUGCUCAUUAUUUUGGUCUUUAUCUCUUCAGUUUAUUUACAUACAAACUUCUCAGUACUUUAAUUUGAUUAACUUCAAUCUCAGUUUACCUUAUAUUUUUCGUUAAUGCUAAGAAUCUCUUAACUUCAAGAGAUUAAAAUUAAUGUACAUUGUUAGAAACGUUAAAAAAUUGGUUAAAGAAAAAUUAAUCUACCGUUUGACUUUCUUUUUCUUCUGGGGCGCGAGGAUCAGGUCGGUGCUGUCGGAAUCGCUCUCCGACAGCAGAUCGAGAAGGUUGAUGGUCUCCUUCGGAUUCGUCUUAUCCAUCCUCGUCGGCAGCGUGCACCGCAUGUCACGAGUACCCGAGACCGUUGGACGGCCGUGGCCGAUCGCAACGUAGCGACAUAACCCCCGUGAUUUUUUGUUGGACGCCGCGAUAAAGUCCUCUCUUUCUCUUACCCAACAGCUGAGCUGUCCGAUUUCAAUUGGGCUAUUUCGGUGAAAGUUUUACAUGCCUAAUUCCACAUGUAUGUUGCGAGCCAGAACGAAACGAGACGCAACCCACGCACUCGCAUUUGUCACAACAUAACCUAUGAGACGAAUCUGUUCCUUUUACGCACACUUUCUGCACUCUUCUUCAAUUCUUCUCUUUUCUUACCUCCCCCUCUCUGUCUUUCUCUCUUAUUUUCGCUCUAUCUUCUUUACUUUCUCCCUCUCUUCAACGACAGAUCUUUAUACCAUAGAACAUAUUAUACCCUCUUUCUUUUUGAUACAGUGAGUGUAACGCAGACAACGCAACCACAGCUGAAAAGAGAAGCGAUAUGCUCGACUGCACUUUUAGCACUUUUUCGCUUUGAGUGACAUCUGUUAGAAGAAUUAUCCUGUCAGACUAUCAAGUCUGGGAAUCUUGGUUGUUAACAGUAGAUAUAUCGAAAUUUACAAAAUAAUCCUAAAAGAUUUUGCCUUUGUAGGCUGAAUUUUUUGUAUCAUUUUUCUUUUUUUUUAUCUCUUCUCUUUAAUAUAUCUUUUACACCUUAGUUUCCUUUUACAAGUGCAGAAGAUAUAAUCUAUAGCAAACGAAAAUAAAUGAAUUAAAAUGGACAGAAAUGAAUUUUAACAUUUUCGAAUUCGCACUUGAGAUUUUUUGAAUCCAUUUGAAUCCAAAAAUACGCCAGGACUCUAAAGCGUAAACUCGGAUAAAUUAAAAUAAGUUGCAAUUUUCAAUUCAUUUGAAUUUAUUUUCGUUGGUUAGAAACACAUACGUACUCCAAAAAUAAAAAUAAAAAAUACAAAGAAGAAAAGGAAUGUUUAAAGAAUUAGAUUGGCGACAAGGAAAUUCCUUUAUUCUGCCUUCAAUUUUUCAACGUUGAAAAAAUUUUUGCAAUAUAUUGAAUUUUUUUACACUUUACAUUAGAUUCAAGUAUUUGCGUAAACGUCACGCGCCGUCGUCUGGAAGUUUGGUUGGCUGGAUGUGACACAGCCGAAUUUCAAACAACAUCAGCUAUGCCGACAUCUUGCCUUCUAGACGUCCAGUUGAAGGAGAAUAAUCAGUUACAAAUAUCGAACACUUUUCUCAGUGCGUGAAUUCGGUGGUGACAACGGUGGAUCAUCCGGGGAUCUACUCGGACACACAAACGCCGAAGGCACUUGCACCUGCACGAGGCCGGAGAUUCACCGAAGAACUGGUAGCGUGGGCGUCGAUACCUUCGAGGAGACGUGGACGUAAGGACGUGGCGUGUACCUGUCUACACCAGGAGCGGCCUUUAAGGAGGGGGUUCGAAGUCUUCCGCCGUCCCAACUCCAUUGGCUGGGUGUCCGAGGUGUUUACGGGCCGGCUUCUUUUCACGCCGCUCUCCAUCGCGGAUCAUCGCUUUCCGUUCUGUCCCGUCGGGGGCCAGAAGGCGUUAAUGAAGCCCGUUGCAUUCUCGUGCACCUCAUACACCCGCGACAUUCCUCGCGAUUGACGCUAUCGUUCGAGUAGCUAAGAGCGUAGUUAAUCGCUAUACUAUCGCCGAUUCUUUUUUUUCCGAAGGAUAGAUGAGGAGUAAAUGAUCAAAGAUAUACUUUAAGCUUUGCAAAAUAGAAUCGAAGUAAGGAUCCCAUAAUAAUAAUUAUAAUCUUAGUAACAGGUUUAGUAACAGAAAAGAAAGGACUCGCUUAGCGAUAUAAAGUCAUUCAUCGAUUAAAACCGUUAGAGGAUGGUCCCGUGCGUAGUGCAAAACUUCCGACAACGCGAUAAUUUCGAUGUCGAUCGCACCUCCAACCGGAAGCCCGUCCAAAACGCGCUUUUCGACGGGGAACGAGAAUCUCGCACGCGUAAAACGCCGCUCACGUUCGCGGGAUCCUAAUGCUCUUCGUGACUUCCGGUACCGAAGCGAACUCGCGCGCCACCGAAGGAGUCACGUGUCGCUGUCGGUGACCGGAUAUGGCGAAGAAACGGACGGCCAAAUCGGCUUGGCUUGGCUUAGCUCGGCUCGGCACGGCGUCUCUCCUCAUAUGCGAAUCACGCGUAACCCGUGUACCAAAUACCGAGCACCGGCCGGUGACAUCAUACCCAUUGUGUACAUAAGCGAGCGUUCGCGUUCGCAACUUAUUUUGCCGCGCAUCUUCGCCUAGGCCGUCCGUCAUUAUCAUUCCAUCAUGGUGGCAUCACGAGAACGGGGAUAUUGAAACCGGUAUGGUUUCGGAUUUCGACGGUUCGGGCACGCGAAAGCCGUACGAUUACUCGGUCGCGACGAGCUGGCCGGCGCGUAGACUCCAUUUUCUUUAUCAAAUUCAGCUCGCAUCGAGUCAUAAAAAUUCGCAAAUUUUUAAAUGAACUGAAAAAUUGUGAUUCACUUUAAUUCAUUUUAAUUCGUUUUAAUUCAUUUUAAUUUAUUCGUAGACUCGAAUAUAAGUACAGCACAUGAGAUUUUGCUGAUUUCGAUUUAGAGAGUAUUUGCCGAAAGAAGUUUCGAUUUUCCACGAAUAUAGCGCAAAAUUGACCGGAUGAGAACAAUGUCGAUACUGAUAGAAAUCAAAAAGUAUUGUAAAUUUUGUUAAUUUCUUUCACUUAUCCUAGCGAAGGCGAGAAGUAAGCCUCUCUACCUCGGGUAGUUCCUUUCGGUCCUUUGAACGGCAAUAGAGAGGAAAAUUCCUCGUCUCUGACAUCGGCGGCGCUAUCGAGUCAUUGCGCAUUGAUUAUUCCCUGCGCAUCGCGAUUAGGAAUGCGACGAAUUUACAUCGCGCGAAUGUACAACGUAUCUCUCGCGGAACCGCUUUUGACGUAACGACAACUUGGAAUAUCCGAAAUUUCCAUUUGCGUUGAUCCUUUGGGUAUUGCAGAAUGGAAAACAACUUGGUCGCGAUCCCCGUAAGUGUACCCAAAGGAAAUGAAAAGAGAGGGGGGGGGGAGAAGAAAAUUAUUAUAUUUUCUAAGAUUUGACCGCGGCUCGAGUUACUCCGCGAUGAGAGUUUUUCGUACGACUUCCUGACAGCGAGACGACGCGAGAAAAACGUUUUCAUGGGAAAUAAAAAGCUUCAUAACGCCUUCCAGCGGCAGAUAUACGUUCGGCCAAACGUCUCAGGUAGCAAAGGUACUCGAUGUUAUCGAACAGCUGUAUAAACUUGGCGUCCUGCGUUGCAGAAGGUUUAGGUUUGGCGCGCGCGCGCUACAGCCGCACGAAGCAUACACACGCAGCUUUAAUCGCGCUUAAGAGAGACACGUUUUAUCGACGCGUGACGAGACAUCGCGGGUCUGGGUGGAGGUGCGCUCAUAUUCUGUCUUCCGGUCAGCGAAGAUUAUUUCAAAACGGCAAUAAUUGCGCGAUCGGCCAUCGCAAUCGAUCAUUCGCGCGUAAAAAUUCUACACUGAAGCGAAUUUUGUGGAUUUGAAAUAUAUAAAUUAAAUUGUCGAUGUAAAUCUAUUUUCGUCAAUUGGGAUAAAUAUGCUGUCGCAAGAAGAAAUCUAAUGAUAUCGAGAUUGAUCAAGACUGAAAAUGAUAAAAGGGGAUGUUAAGUUUUCGCUAUUUUUCAGUUGAUACCAAAGAAGUUUUGAGAUGUACAAAUUGUACAUUUCGGAACCGGCUAACGUAAAGAAGAUUCGAAAUAUGUAUAUAAAUUGAAAAAAAUGGCCAAAACUCAACAUCCUUCUCUCUGCGUCGAGUAGCUUCAUAUAAAUUCUUUCCGAAUCGUCACAAAUUUCCUGCGAGUCUUUUUUUACCUUAGUUGAAUCUACUUUUCCUUAAUAUCGCUUCCUCUUUUCGCAAUCCAGGUAACGAGAAACUAGAAGACUCACCUCGCGGGACUUACGUCAGCGGAACGUGAACUGCCUCGAGAGAUCUAGCUUCGAGGAGGAACGCCUCGCGACACAAAAUUCAAAAAGGAGAAAACUACAAAUGUACUUCGGAAACAAGCUCUUCGACCGUGGAUCGAGGUGACUUCGUCGUUCGGCAGACGAUUAGCAGGCACGCCGAGGAGCACGUCGCGGUGUUCCGUCGCGGAGAAAGUCAUCGCCGGCAACAAUGACAACGGCUGCCAUCGUUGCCGCCACCACCAUCGCCAACCCAUCACCACCACCGUCCUCGCCGUCGUUGUCGUCGUUCGCUGUUGUAUUCAUCGGCACCGGGGCGAGGAGACGAGGCGAAGAAAAGAAGGGAAAAAACGCGCCACAGGAGGAACAAUUAAUUCGUACGCGGAACACGUACGCGCGGACACGCACACGGCCCCGCGCGUCGCGAUGGAACGCGCCUUACGCGCGCGUUCUCCACCUUCUCUCCAUCCGGUACACGGAAUAUUCGGCUGCCAAUCGCAGCGGCCACGGGCGCGCGCGGAUAUAAAUACAUGCCGGGUACUCCGUCCGGGCUGCGUGUCGGCCGGGAGUGCCGACGAAUUUUUAAUUAGUAAAAAUUCGUCGAUAGAUUUUCACGAGAUUUCCGGCGAACCCCCCGCGGGGGCGAGAUGAACGGGGAAAGGACGGCGCACGGCUCCCUUCCGGCGUAUUUUUAGGCUGCGGAAGGCGUUUCGCGCGAUCAUUUCGCGCGCGCACUACUCGCGUCGUUAAAUCUUUAUCGCUCUCGUAGACACGGCGCGCCCGCGCCGCGGGAAACGAUAAAGAUUAAGCGGAAAUAAUCGGAACAGGUUGUUUCCAUUGUAAACGGCGGCGCGAGCAAUGCCCAGACCCAGAGUCACCGUACCCAGGCAAUUAACAUCAGAUUCAAAAUAGGGACGUAAGACGUCCUAAAGGCACAUAGUUCUGAUAUUCGUUUCCGCAUAAUCGAUGUAUGCAGAUUAACUUUGAUCUCAAUUUACUUUUUAUCUCUAUCUAGUUUUAAGAAAUAAAAAAAAAGGAUCAAGAGUGAGUUAAACUGAGAUUAAAAUUAAUCUACAUCAUGGUGGAAAUGGACGUAAAAAAUAUCUAUCCUGGAACGCUACUAUCGGUGUUAUAAUCGAUAUUAAUAGCGAAAAAAGGUGGAUUCACUGUUAUUUCCAGAAUCGUCAUUUCCCACAGCGGAACAAUGCGCAACAUUGAUGACAGCGAGGAGGAAUGGCGCAGGGCAGAGAUCUCGGGUAGAAGUAGGCCGUGCAAAUGAGGUGGACUCUGUGGAACGCGUUUACUAUAACCGAGGCAACCGAGUCGCGCGUGUUAAUUGCAGAACAAGCGGCUACAGUUUUGUAGGGCGCGACGGACGUAUCUCGUCGAGAAGCGAAGGUUCGACUCGAACGAGGAAACGUAGGAUGACGGAGGGAGAUCUCGAUAAUGAUCGGGAACGAGAACGUCGAAACGAGACGUGAAAGAUUUUUCUCCCGAGAUCUCGACGUCGAUCCUCGCUCGGGCGGAAAGGUACGUCCUUUACCCGUCCGUUAUUAGCGCGCUAAUAAUUAAGGGGAGGGCGGUAAUUAACUCCAGUUGAGACUCAAGUGAUAACACGGCGCACCUGCGGUCAACAAGUCGUUUUACAGGACGCUCAUAAUUGCGCGGUGUCUCUAAUUAGCGAAACGCUGAUGGAAAAACUUCCAGGCCGGCUCGAUCGGCUCAUCAGCGUCUAAUCACGUCUCUGUGUUUCCUUUGAGAGAUCUAUGAUUCCGGGAUUCAUGCCGCACUUAUCGAAAACUUAAAAUUUACCAAGCAGCUCUUACUACGUUUAAAAGAAAUAAACCAAUGAAAAUUUUAUAAUGUCCACUGUUAUAACAAAAAUUUUGUAAUAAAAUAUUUAUUUUCUUAUAUUAAAAAAAAAACUUGGAAAAACAUUUGCAUUUUAGCUGUAUCUCAAUAGGAGGUGGAAUAUAUGAUCGCUCAUGAGUGAUGAGUGAAGCACAAUGGAACCGAACAAAGAAUACAAGAGCUAAACGCUUGUAUUUUCGUAUACUCCAUCCUCUCUCUCUUGUAUGUAUGUUACACUCAUAUAUCAAAGUCUAAACCUUUUUACAUUCCUUACGGAAGGAAGGAGAGAGUAAGUAAUACACUGUAAGAAUUUGUAAUACAUUGCUGUGUUACUCGCAACAUUAAGAUUGGCAAACUGAUGCAGCUCACAAUGAUGUAAUGUUAACAGUAAAAAAUUGUAAUUACUAAUAUUAAUAUAACACAAAGAUUGCAAUUUACCUUCACUCCUAUUUUUUCUAGUUACCGCGGCAUGAAUACCGGAGCUAUCCUAGUAUUAGAAUAGAAUCUAAAAGUCUUACUCUGUUACGACGAAUGCAAAAGGUUGAAUUAAGGUCCGAGGAAAGAACGCCAUCAAGACACAGCACAGCAGUUCAGAAAAGCGAAAGAUUCGCGAAGUCACUUCGCGAUUUACGCGAGUCACCUUAUGGAGGUUCAGAAGCGCAGCUGCGACGCUACCAAACUGGUAUAGAUCAACAAAAAUGAUUAUCGGGAAAUUUAAAUCACUCGAUUUCGAAUUAGCAGCCCGGGUCAGCCGCGCCUUGGGCACCACACCCCGAGUGCAUCGGUCGCAACGCGGUACAAUUGACACCUCGCGCUUAAUUCGCGUACGCACGGCCGUGAUAAGCCGACCCGAUUGGUCUUGCGAGGCAAGACGCACCAGGCGCGAGUAACGCUUAUAUAACAUUUUUAUCGUUUUUCGUCGAAACAUUCAAAACAGUCUUCGCGACAGCUUGCCGCCUCUCCGCGGGGACCGUCUCUAGCUAUUAGAGAUCGGGAAUCGCCUCUCUCGUCGGGCAAUUCUCGACGACUAUUCGAGCCUAUUCUGCGAUCGCGUGGAAAAUCAAGGUGUUACAAUUAAGAAAAACUGUCGCGGAAGAUGGAAAAAGAGCUCGUUCGCGUGUCUCAAGGCGAAAUUCUUUUUACGUCCGGCCUCAGUGUCGCUAUCGGGAACGUUUCUUCGGUGGCUUUUUUUCUCCUUUUAACUCGCGCGAGAGGCUCGCGUUGCCUCGGUAUUGAAAAAAAAAAAACUUCUUUAUCGUGACGAUACCACGCCCGAGGCCCCACGCACGUCUUAUCGCGAUCGGGCAUUUACGUGGGGAAAUCAAACGUGUCUCGUGAUACUGCAAUAACACACUGUCGACAUGUUUGUAAAUCCGCCCGACACUCCCCGAGUUCUGACUUAUGUCCGAUACGAGAAAUGUGCUGAAAGUCAAUCGAGAACGGCCGCGCUAUGUAAAAAAUUGAUAGAAAAUAAUAGAAACGGAUUUCAACUUUAUUGAAAUUUUAUUCAAUUUUGUGACAAAUUAUCGCUUCAAUCGGACUCACACCUUUUUGGUUUCUCUAGAAAAACUAUAUCUAUUUACACUAUUUAAAUAUUAAAGAAUCAAAUUUUAAUAACCCAAUUCCUUGAGUUAAAUAACAUUAUUUUUAACUUCUGUGUAUCAAAAUUAUUUUAACACAAAAUAUGUAUAGUUAAAGAAACAAUAACAAACUUAUCUAAUCAACUCACUUCUGUGAUAAAAUUGCUCUGUUUCAAAGUGUCCGUAUUAACGUAUGCACCAGUAAAUAAUAAAUUAAAUUUUAGUCAAGUUUAACAUUUUUAUAGUUAACUUGUUUAGUUUCAUUGUUUUGGUAAUUUAAUUAAAGUGAAAACAUGAUAGAAUAAUAUCAAUUUCGACAAAACUCGGUCGAAUGGACAUUGAAGAUAAUUACUAAAUUAUACUUUAAAUAUCAUAAAAAUAGAUAACAAAUCUGAUGUUUACCAACCAAAAACACGAAAGAAUUAUAUAUUUUUUCUUAUGUAAUUCUAUCGGAUUUUUUUUUUAAGCAUGGCGGUCCGAGAGAACAGCGGCGACGAUAAUGGUUCCAAGUGGAAGCAUUUAGGGCUACAAAUGCGUUCCGAGUCUGAGUACAAAUACAUUCUGAUUAUUUUGAAAGAGAAAGAGAGAAAGGCGGCUCUCACAUAGAACGAUUAUUUAUUUUACUUACCCGAAGGGAUUGCAGACUCGGAGUUUUUUUUUUUAAGCACAUGAUAGUCGCUCAACAGUCCCCCGAGUUAAUUUGUCGUUCUUGCUCCUUUGCGAAUAAUGUUCUUGUAAUGAUGUUUCUCUAACGCUCCAUCGUUUUCGGGAGAACUCACGUCUCGCGCCUGGCACGCACGAGCCGUCACAAUCGCAGCGCGCAAUCACAAUCGUAUUCCGAGCACGACGCGGAGAUCAGUGCGACGGCACGGCGGCCGCGGAUCGUUUUAACUAGGAAAUCGUUCUCGCCUUACAGGAUGCCGGUGCGUCAAUAUUGACACAUUUCUUACGAAACGCGCGAGAGAACCGGGCUUUCGUCUCCUCUAUCUCCGGGCCUCCUCUAUCUGGCGAUUGUCGAAAAACCUCGCGCACAGAUUCCCGGCGAGUAAAUUAGUCUCUCACAAUUCUUCGAUGAGGUACGUCGAAUGUAUAUUAAUACUUAUAAUUAAAUACAAUAUAUAUGUAAAUUAAUUAUAAUUAGGUACGCGCGUUUAAUAGGUAUACAUAAUGUUACAUGCAUUUAAAUAAUGUUUAAUCACGUUAAAUAAUAACGUACUUUAUUAAUCUAAUAUUAAUAACGUAACAUUAAUCAUUGACAUCGCAUACGUAUUAAUUAAUGUCAGUUGUUAAGCCAUACUCAGUAUCUUCUUUCUUUCGGAUGACUAGAAAAAUGACUUACAUGUCGCCUCCUGUACAAUCGUUGCGAUUGCCUCUAUGUGAUCCACGUGUUACGCAAGUGAAACUUAAAUAAUGUAACAAACGUGGAAAAGGUGUACUGUAUCAGGAAACAGGAAAUUGAUUCGGUGAACAAAAGAUUCGUUGGAUAACGAAGACAAUUCCGUAUUGAUUAAACGCAAAAAGUCGCGUAAUAGCAACGAACAUCGAUAACACUCGGUUUGUGUAAUAAAAUAGAGAGAAGGAAAAACAAAUAUCGAUACGUCGGUAUCAACGGUUUUAGCUCGUACAAUUAAUGCAUUAAUUUAUUAAUAUUUAAUACCUCUUAACUCAUUAAGCCCCAUGAUUAUGUAUACCAGCAAGAUUAACCAAAAAAUAACAAUGAUUUCUUGAGGAAUUUAAAAAUACACUGAUAUCUUUUUAUUGCUGUGUAAAAAGGCAGUGAUAAAUGGAAUAAUAGUAAUUGUUAUUUUUUAGCUAAUCUUGCCGAUCUGGACCUCCAUGGAUUAAUUGGAUCUAUUGGCGUUGCUAGAAAAAAAUCUAAAAAUCAAAUUAAGGAAAGAAUGAUGAAGAAAACGGCGCGUAAUGUUAAUUUUUUAUUUCUUUUUUCAUAUAGUCUCUUAAUCAUGUAACAACAACUGCCAAGUAACAAUAUCGCAAUAUAAACGUAUAUCGUUAAUUUAAUACAACGCAAGCAGGAACAUACGCCUGUGUAUAAAUAAAUUGGCAGGGAAGGAAAAAAAAACAAUAUAUAUUACACUAUCAAUAUAUGCACCACCUCUUAUCGAACGUUAAAUUCCGCGAAUUAAAUCCCGCGAUACGCGGGUCAUUCAUGGUACAUUUUAUCACCAAAGUGUACUGCCCUGCACGCAGUAUAACGGAAACGAAUUGUUAGGCAGCUACAAUUGUACACUUGUCACGCAAUGGAUGGAUACUUUUUCCUUUGGCCGGUACUCAGCGUAAAACGAAGUUACCGAAGUACAGAUGUCUGUAUGACUCAGGAUACGGACGCAAAGAGAAAACGCCUUUUCACAUCGGAAACGCGAUUGUACAAUCUAAAAUCCUCGCUGUUCGCCGUUUCGAAGAGCGAGGCAAGAAACUUCGUUUUACUCCUAACAAUAAAAUAAAGACCCUGUUAACAAGCGCACUAUGUCUCUUUCGCGUUACGGUAACGUCACAAUAGCAAUUACCGCAGCACGAUACGUCUAAGAAAUCCACGGACAACAUAUAAAAGUAUUUUUAUAAAGAAAUAAUGUGAAAACAUUAAAAAAGGAGAACAAAACAAA